GAUGAACGCUGGCGGCGUGCCUAAUACAUGCAAGUCGAGCGAACGGACGAGAAGCUUGCUUUUCUGAUGUUAGCGGCGGACGGGUGAGUAACACGUGGAUAACCUACCUAUAAGACUGGGAUAACUUCGGGAAACCGGAGCUAAUACCGGAUAAUAUUUUGAACCGCAUGGUUCAAAAGUGAAAGACGGUCUUGCUGUCACUUAUAGAUGGAUCCGCGCUGCAUUAGCUAGUUGGUAAGGUAACGGCUUACCAUGGCAACGAUGCAUAGCCGACCUGAGAGGGUGAUCGGCCACACUGGAACUGAGACACGGUCCAGACUCCUACGGGAGGCAGCAGUAGGGAAUCUUCCGCAAUGGGCGAAAGCCUGACGGAGCAACGCCGCGUGAGUGAUGAAGGUCUUCGGAUCGUAAAACUCUGUUAUUAGGGAAGAACAUAUGUGUAAGUAACUGUGCACAUCUUGACGGUACCUAAUCAGAAAGCCACGGCUAACUACGUG
rnacentral:rRNA from 1 species